AUAUCACAGCGGUAAAUCCGUUGUGAGUUGCUUAAGGUGUUCCCUUCCAUCGGUGGGCUAAAACUUUAACAUUAUAACCCACAGGGUGCGCUCUUUAU
rnacentral:sRNA from 12 species